rnacentral:rRNA from 1 species
AGAGUUUGAUCAUGGCUCAGAACGAACGCUGGCGGCAUGGAUUAGGCAUGCAAGUUGAACGAACUCCUUUGGGAGUGAGUAGCGAAAGGGUGAGGAACGCGUGAGUAAUCUGCCCAUAAGUUGGGAACAACAGUUGGAAACGACUGCUAAUACCGAAUGUGGCUAUUGACCCGCAUGGGUUUUUGGCUAAAGAUUUAUCGCUUAUGGAUGAGCUCGCGUCCCAUUAGCUAGUUGGUGAGGUAACGGCCACCAAGGCUACGAUGGGUAGC